rnacentral:rRNA from 1 species
UACAGAGGUCCCAAGCGUUGUUCGGAUUCAUUGGGCGUAAAGGGUGUGUAGGUGGCGCCGUAAGUCAGGUGUGAAAUUUCGGAGCUUAACUCCGAAACUGCAUUUGAUACUGCGGUGCUUGAGGACUGGAGAGGAGACUGGAAUUUACGGUGUAGCAGUGAAAUGCGUAGAUAUCGUAAGGAAGACCAGUGGCGAAGGCGGGUCUCUGGACAGUUCCUGACACUGAGACACGAAGGCCAGGGGAGCAAACGGG